GAGUAACGCGUGAGGAACCUGCCUCAAAGAGGGGGACGAACAGUUGGAAACGACUGCUAAUACCGCAUAAGCCCACGGCUCGGCAUCGAGCAGAGGGAAAAGGAGCAAUCCGCUUUGAGAUGGUCUCGCGUCCGAUUAGCUAGUUGGUGAGGUAAUGGCCCACCAAGGCGACGAUCGGUAGCCGGACUGAGAGGUUGAACGGCCACAUUGGGACUGAGACACGGCCCAGACUCCUACGGGAGGCAGCAUG
rnacentral:rRNA from 1 species